UGGGGAAUUUUGGACAAUGGGCGAAAGCCUGAUCCAGCAAUGCCGCGUGUGUGAAGAAGGCCUUCGGGUUGUAAAGCACUUUUGUCCGGAAAGAAAUCCUUGGCUCUAAUACAGUCGGGGGAUGACGGUACCGGAAGAAUAAGCACCGGCUAACUACGUGCCAGCAGCCGCGGUAAUACGUAGGGUGCAAGCGUUAAUCGGAAUUACUGGGCGUAAAGCGUGCGCAGGCGGUUUGCUAAGACCGAUGUGAAAUCCCCGGGCUCAACCUGGGAACUGCAUUGGUGACUGGCAGGCUAGAGUAUGGCAGAGGGGGGUAGAAUUCCACGUGUAGCAGUGAAAUGCGUAGAGAUGUGGAGGAAUACCGAUGGCGAAGGCAGCCCCCUGGGCAAUACUGACGCUCAUGCACGAAAGCGUGGGGAGCAAACAGGAUUAGAUACCCUGGUAGUCCACGCCCUAAACGAUGUCAACUAGUUGUUGGGGAUUCAUUUCCUUAGUAACGUAGCUAACGCGUGAAGUUGACCGCCUGGGGAGUACGGUCGCAAGAUUAAAACUUAAAUGAAUUGACGGGG
rnacentral:rRNA from 1 species